CUAUAAAUUCAGGGAUGACUCAGGAUUGAAAUACACAGCAACCACAGCUGCUGAAAAUAGACCACUAUAAUGUAGUAUAUACCACAGUGCAUAACCACUGCAAGCUGCUCUCCACUCCAUCUCUCUGAAGUUCCCACAGGACUUAGCAAGCUCUAUCUUAUGCCCCAAGCAAGGGGCAGUGCAUUGUUUCAUGGCCUCUGGAGCAGUCAGGAAGCAGAAUGUGACUAUCCUAGCAGGUGCCAUGAAGAGGCAGAUCCCAGACUUCCCUCAUUCUCUGUGCACAGAGCAUCUGAGUGGGAGGCGUAAACUACUGAAAUUCCCCAUGGCGGCCUCUCAUCACUGUCUCUGUCUACUGUCCCCAACUACUGCUGUCGAUUCCUUCCUUCUAUAAUGUUUCCAUGACUAUAAACUAUAAUUGCUGUG